AGAUUGAAACAUUUAGCUCACUUACCCUGCUUUUCACUGCUACUAGUAUGUUCUCUUCUUCAACUUGCUUAGCUCUCUCCUGAGCUCCAAAGGAUCACUUCUGUGAUUGUUUCAAUCUUGUUUGUUCUUAAAUCUCAUCUCCAGUGGCCGGCAAGUUUGUCUUGGGGAGAGUAUGUGAAGACAAGAGUGGAGAAAUCAUGGUUGGCAGUGGUAGAAUUUGCAGGGGCUCCAGGGGAGCUGUUUUUUUUGUGGGGGUUGUCUGUUUAUUGCUUGUUGGUAUUAUAAACCAUCAGACAAGACAAAUGACUAUGGUUACAGUCGUUGCGUCAGCAGGAAGAUUCGAGGACUGGAAGUCUAUAGGAAAACAGAGGAAACACGGUGUUCUGCAUCACGAUCUUAAUUUUGUGAGCAAGAGAAGAGUACCUAACGGACCUGACCCUAUUCACAACAGGUAUAUUCUCAACAUUACAUGUUUAGAUGAAAGAAAAGCUAUAUUAUGCAUACAUUAUGCAUGGCUUGUGGUUGAUCUUUUCAGUGUUACCUAAAUCACCCACAAGUUCCAACAUCACGAUGUCUUGCUAUAAUUUAGUCAUGAAAAGAAAUAAGAUGAGCGGCUAAAAUUGUCGUGUUCUUCGAUGUCCCAACUCUUUUAGAUUAUUAAACAUCUUCCGUUAAUAUCAAUCUUUUUCUCAACUUAUUAAUUUACAACAUGCCAAGAGAGAUGGGAGAAGGAUUUGAACCUCCUUCAGGAUUUCAAACAGAACGAUAAACACUAGGCUCCUUUAAAUCAAAGCCUCUUUCUUCUAAAAUUUUUCACAUACACACUUCAUCUUUUUUUCAGAAGAGCAGGGAAGUCUACACAACCACCUGAUCGAGCUUGAGGAUCGAGUAAAGUAGGAAUCAUCAGAUCAUUUGUAAAAGAAGGUCUACAUUAAAUAUUGUUCAGCAGAUGUCACUAGUUUGUAAAGUUCUAGACCAUCGAUUUUCAUAUUUAGAAAGGUUAUGUGAACGAAUAACAAGAGGACCUCUCAACCUCUAAAUCGAUCUACCUUAUUGUAAUUGUAAUUGUCUGCUCUAUGCUAUACAAGGCCUGAACAUUACUAUGAAACUGCCAAUGGGGAAGCCGGGAGGAGGGGGUUGACAUCAAAAACUAGAGCUUCUUAACAACAAAUAUAUGCAAACCUAGAGGGGUAGAAGAAUCUUGAGGUCAUCACAUUAGCAUCUACAUGUUCCCAGCCAUUUCCUUUUGGAAGAAAAGAAGACGGAUAUGGAUUUUUGCAUGACAAAGAAAACAGCACUAUCGAUUUUUCACGACCCAAGAAUUGCACUAGCCUACAUGUGUACUGUCAAUUGUGUAGGCAUGAUAUAUGUAAAAAGAUUGUUGUCUUUGCUUUGUGUUGCUUUCUCUUUAUUAAUUUAUGUUUGUGUUUUCCAUAUAAAGAAAUUUAUCUUCCGCUUAAA
rnacentral:lncRNA from 1 species